rnacentral:pre_miRNA from 1 species
CAACUACUCCCUCUGUCCCAAAUUUCUUGUCUUAGAUUUGUCUAGAUACGGAUGUAUCUAAUACUAAAAUGUGACUUGAUACAUCCGUAUCUAGACAAAUCUAGGACAAGAAUUUUGGGACGGAGAGAGUACUUU